AUUGAACGCUGGCGGCGUGCCUAAUACAUGCAAGUCGAGCGAAGCGGGGAAGGGUGAGUAACACGUGGAUAACAUCCUAUAAGACUGGGAUAACUUCGGGAAACAGGAGAUAAACCGGAUCCGUAUAGAUGGAUCAGCUCUGCAUUAGCUAGGUGGUAAGGUAACGGCUUAACAAGGCAACGAUGCAUAGCCGAACUGAUAGGAGGAGCGGCCACACUGGAACUGAGACACGGGCCAGACUCCUACGGGAGGCAGCAGUAGGGAAUCUUGCGCAAUGGGCGAAAGCCUGACGGAGCAACGCCGCGUGUGUGAUGAAGGUCUUCGGAUCGUAAAACUCUGUUAGUGGGGAAGCGUUACCUAAUCAGAAAGCCACGGCUAACUACGUGCCAGCAGCCGCGGUAAUUC
rnacentral:rRNA from 1 species